GAUGAACGCUGGCGGCGUGCCUAAUACAUGCAAGUCGAGCGAACAGACGAGGAGCUUGCUCCUCUGACGUUAGCGGCGGACGGGUGAGUAACACGUGGAUAACCUACCUAUAAGACUGGGAUAACUUCGGGAAACCGGAGCUAAUACCGGAUAAUAUAUUGAACCGCAUGGUUCAAUAGUGAAAGACGGUUUUGCUGUCACUUAUAGAUGGAUCCGCGCCGCAUUAGCUAGUUGGUAAGGUAACGGCUUACCAAGGCAACGAUGCGUAGCCGACCUGAGAGGGUGAUCGGCCACACUGGAACUGAGACACGGUCCAGACUCCGACGGGAGGCAGCAGUAGGGAAUCUUCCGCAAUGGGCGAAAGCUUGACGGAGCAACGCCGCGUGAGUGAUGAAGGUCUUCGGAUCGUAAAACUCUGUUAUUAGUGAAGAACAAAUGUGUAAGUAACUAUGCACGUCUUGACGGUACCUAAUCAGAAAGCCACGGCUAACUACGUG
rnacentral:rRNA from 1 species